rnacentral:rRNA from 1 species
CCUACGGGAGGCAGCAGUGGGGAAUUUUGGACAAUGGGGGCAACCCUGAUCCAGCAAUGCCGCGUGUGUGACGAAGGCCUUCGGGUUGUAAAGCACUUUUGGCGGGAACGAAACGGCGCUUUCUAAUACAGAGUGCUAAUGACGGUACCCGCAGAAUAAGCACCGGCUAACUACGUGCCAGCAGCCGCGGUAAUACGUAGGGUGCGAGCGUUAAUCGGAAUUACUGGGCGUAAAGCGUGCGCAGGCGGUUUCGUAAGACAGAUGUGAAAGCCCCGGGCUCAACCUGGGAAGUGCAUUUGUGACUGCGAGACUAGAGUGUGUCAGAGGGAGGUAGAAUUCCACGUGUAGCAGUGAAAUGCGUAGAGAUGUGGAGGAAUACCGAUGGCGAAGGCAGCCUCCUGGGAUAACACUGACGCUCAUGCACGAAAGCGUGGGGAGCAAACAGGAUUAGAUACCCUGGUAGUCCACGCCCUAAACGAUGUCUACUAGUUGUCGGGGAUUCGUUUCCUUGGUAACGCAGCUAACGCGUGAAGUAGACCGCCUGGGGAGUACGGCCGCAAGGUUAAAACUCAAAUGAAUUGACGG